rnacentral:lncRNA from 1 species
ACAAUUUGCACAAAAAAAAACUUAAAGUAAAUAAUAAUAGAACGAUUUAAAAUGAGUGAUAUAAAAAACUUAGAAUAAAUAAUAGUUACAAACAGUUUUAUUAAAAAGAGUAAAUAAAGAAAAAAAGAAAUGAACAAAAAAGAUUAAAGACUAGAUUGAAAUCGAACUCAAACUUAGGGUACAAAUUGAAAAUAAAAAAAUAAAAAAAACUAAAGAGGAUCAAAAUGAGAUGCGCUGAAACAAGUGGGGGACUAAAUGAACAAAUAGUCCAAUUUUAGGACACGCGUUCCUUCCCCAGCUUGGAAUACUCGGGACUAAAUCGAAACAUGCGAGAGGUAUUUGGGCAAAAUUUAAAAGAAAAUAAAAGGUAAGUAAAAGGACUAAAUUACAGCGUACUGUGAAGGUAGAGGGACCAAAGGGAUAAAUAUCCCUAAAGGGAAAAACGCGCGGAUCCCCCCGGAGUGGGUCGGGUCGCGCGCGGGUAUGCUAAAAACGACGUUGUUUCGGCGUUGAUGUCCCAGGUGCAAAACGGCACCGUUUUGCCUUAUUAUUUAAGUAAAAAAAAAAUUCAGUUUUUCAUUUGCUUCUUUUUCUUUUUAAAAAAAGAAGAGAGAACACCCCUUCUGUCUACCCAUGUUCUCUGUUAGGGUUUCAAGAACCCAUUUUGCGCUGUCGCCAUGCCUGCCGAUCGAGAGAAGACAGUUUAUCCCCUCCCCUUUUGGGUUUGAUUUCGGCGACAGAGAAAGGGUCUCCGGCGACACGACCAUGGGAGAUUUCGGGUAAGUUUCCCCUCUUCCUUUUUUAUUUUAUUCUUUUAUUCAAAAUCGAUUUGAAAUAGAAAUAAGAAAAUAGGAAAUUGAAAAGAAAAAAAGAAAGCGAAAUCAACCUCUUUUUAACUUCUGUUUUUGCUCUUUUAUUUCUUGCGUGUGUAAAAAGUUACAAAGGGAUCGAAUGUGGCUUUUAUAGCCGAAUACACGCUCGUUUUUGUUUCUAUUCUUUGUCUAUUUCUUUAUAUUUUUUCUUUGUUGUUUGCUAUCGUUUUUUGUCUUUUUGUUCAUUGUUUUCUUUUGCUUGCGUGUUGGUCUCUUUUUGCAGGUGAUGUGAACAGCCAGACGCAUGCGAGGAGGCGUGCGACUGCCAAGGGUGAAAGGGGCAUGCGGCGGCUGAAGCUUGAAGGGGCUAGGGUUGCUGAAAUGUUUUGUGUAGUUGGGCUAGGGUUUCUAGACUUUUAGGCUUGUUGGGCUUGUUGGGUUUAGAUAGUUUAGGCCUAGGUUUAAUAUGUAAAUGGGCAUUUAUUGGACUGUAAAAAUAUUUGGAAUUUGGUUUAUUUAUUUGGUUUUUAUUUUAUAAUUUGGCCAGGCCAAAAUUGGCCCAUUACACUCAUAUUUCAUCUCUUUAAGAGUUGGCAUUCAACAAAGCCAAGUUCGAGCUACAAUUAAGAUGGAUGAGAAAAUGCAAGAUAAUUAUAGUUUACGGAUUCAAAAGUUGAUGUACAAUACAAGUAUGUACGUUGUUAGUGCUUCAUCAAAUUGGGCUUCACCACCCUCAUUUCAUCCAACCACAAUCUCGUUAGCUACAACUUUAUUUACAGACAACACUUUGCUAGCAAGUGG